UAAUGAUUGAUAGUGUAGUGAGUGCGUGCUUCGUCAGAAUUUCGAAAAUUCUGAAAAUGUUCGCAUUUUCAUGCAGAAAAUUGCCGAUUCCCUUAUAGACAAGGUUGUGUUUUACCGUUUUGCAGUUUCUAGCAGCUGGAAAGUGCGAUUUCAGUUGUAAAACGUGAUUUUUUUAAAACGGUCUGACGUUUUACUGUCGGAACUGAACGUUUUGACUUUGAUGUGUCAAUUUUGAGGUUACAAAAAUAUGGAAGUUUUCUUCAGAGUUUUGCGGAAUUUACAAAUAUAUUAAUGGGCGUUUUGGUUGCGAAAAGAGCAGCUUCAUGAAGAAACGCAUUUAACAGUCACAAAAUUUUGGAGACCCGAGAGAUGUCCGAAAGACUAGCAUUUAAUGUAUGAGUUCUAUUAUUUAAGCAACUAGAAUAAAUGUCCGUCAUUAAAUCAUAA